AGUGAACGCUGGCGGUAGGCCUAACACAUGCAAGUCGAACGGCAGCACAGUAAGAGCUUGCUCUUACGGGUGGCGAGUGGCGGACGGGUGAGGAAUACAUCGGAAUCUACUUUUUCGUGGGGGAUAACGUAGGGAAACUUACGCUAAUACCGCAUACGACCUCCGGGUGAAAGCAGGGGAUCUUCGGACCUUGCGCGAUUGAAUGAGCCGAUGUCGGAUUAGCUAGUUGGCGGGGUAAAGGCCCACCAAGGCGACGAUCCGUAGCUGGUCUGAGAGGAUGAUCAGCCACACUGGAACUGAGACACGGUCCAGACUCCUACGGGAGGCAGCAGUGGGGAAUAUUGGACAAUGGGCGCAAGCCUGAUCCAGCCAUACCGCGUGGGUGAAGAAGGCCUUCGGGUUGUAAAGCCCUUUUGUUGGGAAAGAAAAGCAGCAGGUUAAUACCCCGCUGUUCUGACGGUACCCAAAGAAUAAGCACCGGCUAACUUCGCG
rnacentral:rRNA from 1 species